rnacentral:rRNA from 1 species
GGAAACUGAGGAUAAUACUGGAUAGGCAAUUAUUCCUGCAAUGGGUUUUUGUUUAAAUGUUUUUUCGCCUAAGGAUGGGUCUGCGGCCGAUUAGGUAGUUGGUUAGGUAAUGGCUUACCAAGCCGUUGAUCGGUACGGGUUGUGAGAGCAAGAGCCCGGAGAUGGAACCUGAGACAAGGUUCCAGGCCCUACGGGGUGCAGCAGGCGCGAAACCUCCGCAAUGUGAGAAAUCGCGACGGGGGGAUCCCAAGUGCCAUUCUUAACGGGAUGGCUUUUCAUUAGUGUAAAGAGCUUUUGGAAUAAGGGCUGGGCAAGACCGGUGCCAGCCGCCGCGGUAACACCGGCAGCUCUAGUGGUAGCAGUUUUUAUUGGGCCUAAAGCGUCCGUAGCCGGUUUAAUAAGUCUCUGGUGAAAUCCUGUAGCUUAACUGUGGGAAUUGCUGGAGAUACUAUUAGACUUGAGACCGGGAGAGGUUAGAGGUACCCCCAGGGUAGAGGUGAAAUUCUGUAAUCCUGGGAGGACCGCCUGUUGCGAAGGCGUCUAACUGGAACGGUUCUGACGGUGAGGGACGAAAGUUAGGGGCGCGAACCGGAUUAGAUACCCGGGUAGUCCUAACCGUAAACGAUGCGGACUUGGUGUUGGGGUGGCUUUGAGCUGCUCCAGUGCCGAAGGGAAGCUGUUAAGUCCGCCGCCUGGGAAGUACGGUCGCAAGACUGAAACUUAA